GCGUUUGUAGCUCAGUGGAUAGAGCGCUAGCCUCCGGAGCUAGAAGUCGCAGGUUCGAAUCCUGUCAAGCGCACCA
rnacentral:tRNA from 1 species